UACGUAGGGUGCAAGCGUUGUCCGGAAUCAUUGGGCGUAAAGCGCGUGUAGGCGGUCCGGUAAGUCGGCUGUGAAAGUCCAGGGCUCAACCCUGGGGAUGCCGGUCGAUACUGCCGGACUAGAGUUCGGAAGAGGCGAGUGGAAUUCCCGGUGUAGCGGUGAAAUGCGCAGAUAUCGGGAGGAACACCAAAUGGCGAAGGCAGCUCGCUGGGACGUUACUGACGCUGAGACGCGAAAGCGUGGG
rnacentral:rRNA from 1 species